UUGAGAGUUAACAACCAGCCGAUGGCCCACAAUUUCCCUGCAUCCCAUGGAAAUUCCUGUUCACUCAAUGCAGCUGAGGCAAGCCAAAGUGUUGGAUAGCUAUGAUUUAGAAGAUAUGAAAAUGUGUUAUUGGAAGAUUUCUUCCUAACCUCCUUUUUUUGUAAUGUCAACACAAAAAAAUGCUGACAUUCCUGACUAGCCUGCACGUGUGAGGAAAUCCAGAUUUGUGGUGUUCCUUUGUGAAAUAUUGUCCCUGCAAUCUCCUGGAAAAUUCAGAAUCUAAAAGGAUUUUUCUGAUGGGUAAACAUCAUUUACUAGUGUCUAUUUGCAUACUGCUCUUGGAGGAGCUGAACACUACUGUAUUCAGAAGAGGUGUGUUGACCUGCUGAAGCUGUUUGUCAGUGAGGAGGAUCACAGUGUGGUGAUAUUUGGGAAGAAGAAUAAGAGUAGAAGAACUUGUACCUAUGAAAAGCACUGUCACACUUCUCACCAGGAAAGAAGAAUUAAAAAAUAGCCUUUGGUUACUGAUGAGUGUAAGUGAAUUCUUCUCUCACUGCUAAAGCUAGGUAUAAUUGCCUUGAGAUUUGCUAGCUCUGUAAGUCAGCUUUUGGUUACUUCAGUACAAAAACUGAGAACAGUAAGACAUUCUAGCUAAGUGUUUUUUCCUCUUCUUUUUGCUUAGAUUUUAUGGGAUAUUUGUAUUAAAUACCUAUAAUGCCAUGUAAAAUGUCAAUAAAAUUGAAAAGAUGCUCCUAUUUCAAAGUGAAUUUAUGAUAAAAAUGCAAAUAUCUGUAGGUGCCUGUGAAUUUAAUGCGUUCACCUUGGCAUGUGGUACAAACAGUUGCUAUAAAUCACUACCUUUCUUGUAAAUUUCCUGUCAUGUAGUGUGAGGGGAAAAAGCAAUGAUGGUUUUCCCCCAUAAUCUGUUUCCACAGUGUAAGGAAAGUGAAUGAGCUUUACCCUUUAGCAUGGGAGCGUGGCCUGAAUCUAGCAUCUUAUUCCAAACCGAGCCAACCAUUGCUUUGUAGAAUUAUUGACUUCACUCCUCUGUUGCAGUAUAUCAUUCUUACAGUAUGCUUUCAUUUAGUUGCAAAGCCUAGCCACUCUUCUGGCAGCUGGCUUUACAUGCCAACAUGGAUUUCCAAAAUUUUCAGUCAUUAUCUCAAUACCACAACAAAGAAAAAAUGUUAAUUAACAAGCACAUUUUCCUAUUUGUUGAAGUUUUCUAGAAGUGACAUUUGUUGUUUUUUUGCAGAGAGGGGUUUGUUUUUACUUUGAGCGUGUGUCCAGCAACCUAUGUGUUAAAUACACUGAUCGAUAAUAGGCAAGUGUGGCUCAUCACUCAGAGAUGUAAAUCACUAGGAAUGUAUUUUCUCUUUUGGAAUUCUAUGUUUUUAAUGUAUUUUGCCCUUUGGGUUUUCAUGUGCUCUAUAUCUGUAUUUUUAGAAAUUAUUUGAAUCACUGGCUGGCUUUUCAGAAAAGUCACAGGAAUAAUUUCCCUGCAGGGACCUAUCCAAAUUUUAGAGCAGCGAAUUAGAAAGCAUUAAAAUCCACAUCUAGAUAUCUGUUUUCCACAUAUCUUCAAAAAGGUAAACCUUUCCACUUGAGUUACUAUGAACUUUUGCUUGAGUAUUGAUUGAGAAGAAACUGAGUGAAAUUCUUCUUAUCUUGCAAUUAUACAGUAAUGGAGCAAUUGUUUUGGGUCAACAGCACAAGAAUUUUAUACAUAUAUAUUUGGUGAAGGUUUAUUUUCUCUGAGGUUAAUGGUAGAGCAUUGAAAAUGAAACAAUAGCAUCAUAGGAAUGAAGACCCACCUACAUAUUGAAAUGCUCCACUAUCUUGUGCAUCAGAUUUAAGUUAAGCCAUUGCUUUGCUCUUAAUAUCCUUUGUUGCCUGUUGUGCUGUAUUUGUUUCUCAUUUGAGUGUAUCUGCAAUCCUCCACUGGCUAAUUUUUGAUCAUAUUCUGCAAUCUUGUUCUGUUUCGACCAGUGAGAUGCUCAAAGCAGCUAGAAGACCUUUUUGGAGUAAGAUACCUGAUAAGAGUUCAUGCCUUUACACAGCAGCAACUACAUAUCCAAAUUUUAACCUGUUUUUAGACUUAAUAAAACAAUUGAGAGCAUUACUUGAGCAAAGACUGAAAGAGAUUUCUGAAGCAGUUAUGCUUUAAAUAAAAUAAACAGCAACACAGAAAGUAUUUUC
rnacentral:lncRNA from 7 species